AUGGAGACAAUUCAUUCAACACUUUCAGAGAAAAUCACAAAAACCUCAUCAUUCUUCUAUCCAACUAGAAAUCCGCAGAAAAACCAUCUCCUUUCUCAGCUCCAUUCUUCUAUCAUCUUCAUCUUCACCAUUCUUAUACUUUCAGAAGGACCACACAAAAAAAGACCUCUCAAAGAACUCUCUCGCUCUCUGAACCACAUCGAGAUCUUCAUCAACAACUCGCAACAAUCUUUCAUCAUCUUUAUCACCUCUGCAACAACGUAA